rnacentral:rRNA from 1 species
UACGUAGGGUGCGAGCGUUGUCCGGAAUUAUUGGGCGUAAAGAGCUCGUAGGCGGUGUGUCGCGUCGGCCGUGAAAACCUUCAGCUUAACUGGGGGCUUGCGGUCGAUACGGGCAUCACUUGAGUUCGGCAGGGGAGACUGGAAUUCCUGGUGUAGCGGUGAAAUGCGCAGAUAUCAGGAGGAACACCGGUGGCGAAGGCGGGUCUCUGGGCCGAUACUGACGCUGAGGAGCGAAAGCGUGGGGAGCGAACAGG